GUGAGUUUAUAUUUCCAUCAAACCUAUUUUAUCAUUGCAUUAUUACUAAUAAAGCAGAUAUCGAUAAUAUUGAGUAAACACGGAAGCAUUUAUUGUAUGUGACAUAGACAGCAUUGCUACAUUUAGGUGACUGCAAAAAAAAAUCAGGCUAUUGCUAAACUGUUAGCCUUGCGGCUUUGUAAAAUGCUGCAUGUUGCGUGUGGUUAUGUAUUUAGAUUCUAAAAACUGGCAAAACAUUUUUUAUUUAGUUGCAUUUUUUGAUGGCUUUUUUAUCGUUUCAUUGACACUUGUUCAUGAAGAUAAUUAAACUGCUUGGAUUCCUUAAAUCGAGUCCUAGUGAGGCCUUUUUAAUAUUACACUAUUGAGAUUAUAUUUUUGAAUCUUAUUUCAUAGCUUACUUGAUAUGUUUGAUACCUGCAGUAUCAAACAUACUUUAUGUAAAACUUGUGGUGUAAUGGUUUAAUUUUGGAAACCGAACGUUGGAAACCCAAAAGGCCCGAUCCUUAUCGCAAUUGCAUAUGAUAAAUUUAACAUUUCAUGACUAAUUACUUGAGGAACUGCGGUUUUCAAGUCUUAAAAUUCACACACUGGACUACAUCAUCUCUGCUGUCUUCACAUUUGUUUUCAGGGAUCAAAAUGCUGCCAUCCCCUUCAAUCCACAGAGCAUCAAAUAAAGACCCCUGUCCAGUGUGUGGAAAACCCUGAAGGACUGGGUGGAGUGAUAAUACAUGAUCAAGAGACAUUCACCAUUAACAAGCCACACUUGGUGGCAGUUCCUGAUAGAGCCUUGAUUAGGGGGGGAAAGCUCUGUGAGACCAGUUCUGGUUAAAGCAAGUGAAGAGGAGAAAGACAAAUGCUUUCCAAGACUUGAACAUCUCCACUUCCUUUAAACUUCAAAUAAAGUCAUUUCAUUUUCACCUGA